UACAGCAUAAUAGAUUACUAGUUGCAGAUUGAGAGAAAUAAUAAGCGGGUUUGACAAAGCAAGUGUGUUAUGUUAUGUUAGUUGAUUUUAGUCCCACAUCGAAUGCUUUGUUUUCUUUUAUUAAGUUUAUAUAGAAGAGAUACUCACCAUUAGUUCGUCCCUUCGGGGACAUCCGAUAAAAUUGGAACGAUACAGAGAAGAUUAGCAUGGCCCCUGCGCAAGGAUGACACGCACAAAUCGAGAAAUGGUCCAAAUUUUUUUGCGAUUUUCUUCCCCGAAAUUCUUAGGGUUUCAAUUUCUCUGAUUUCGCGUUUAGGUUUUGUUCGUUUUUACGUUUAGGUUUUGUUCGUUUUCUCUUUGAUUUUGCGUUUAGGGUUUUGUUUUCCUUUCAAUUUCAAUGGUUUUGCGUUUAGGGUUUUGUUUUCCUUUCAAUUUCAAUGGUUUUGCGUUUAGGGUUUUGUUUUCCUUUCAAUUUCAAUGAUUUUGCAUUUAGGGUUUUGUUUUCCUUUCAAUUUCAAUGAUUUUGCAUUUAGGGUUUUGUUUUCCUUUCAAUUUCAAUGAUUUUGCAUUUAGGGUUUUGUUUUCCUUUCAAUUUCAAUGCAUGUAGGUGGUGUUCAUCACGAUUUUGAAAUUGGGGCUGUCUCGUACUUGAACCAUAUGUAUAGUUGAAUUCUUAUUCUGAUUUUUGGUUAUUUUGUUGACUUAAAUUGUUAAUAUCUAUACUUUCAUUUCACUCAUCUCUCUAAUCAAAUGCUUCACCAUUUAGUGAAAACAUCAAAUUCACCAUAUACAUAACAUCAUUGAAUUUUGUGAUAUAGAAAACAUCAAAUUCACCAUAUACAUAACAUCAUAAUAGCUUUUCAUUCAAUUCUGUCAUAGCAAAAACAUCCAAUAAUACAUUGCCAAUUUGUGUUUCUAUCUCAAUAUUUACAACAUGCCUGCCUAUAUUCUACAAAAUCUCAAUACUAAUCUAUGUCCUUCUCUGCAGUCGCAUAUUCAUAGACCAUUGAAGCCUAAAGUUAUAUGCAAAAACACAUCUUCUGUGCAAGGCAUUGUCAGGCCACCCAUUCGAUGAUCAUAUCCAAAUUCUUCCUCUGCUUGGCUUAGCAACUCUUGAAAUGAUGUCUGGUUCAAGUAUGACACAGGGAUCACAAACCGCUUCAUUUCUUCUCCAACAUACACUGCAAGACACCCCUUCGCUACUUUUGAUGAUGUUUGGCUGCUACUUAGUGAACAACCACGUCUAAUAGCUGCAGUUGAGGCAAAUUCAAAGUAAAGGGUCGCCGUUGCCAUUAGCUGCCUAACAACUAUGACCUCAAUCCAUUUGAAGAGCGCGGGUAGUUCACGUGAUUAUGGUCACCAACGCCUUCUUCAGUUAUUGAUUCCUUCAAGGACCUCCUGACUGCCACAUUGCAGCAAAGGUCGUUGGAUCAGUGGUAGAGAAGAUCACUUCCAGACGAAGGUCGUUGGUGCAAAUUUAAUUAUGUCUAGGAGCUCUUUCUCGUGAAUUUUUAAAACAAUACUUCAACUUAGACAGGUAACAGAUCAAAUGUAGAGUUGGAGCUCCAUGCUAGCGUUACUUAAUUACUGUAUCAUCAGAAGUAUUUAAUAUGCUUUGAAAGAGAGCAUACAAUACAACGUCUAGAAUCGGUGGUAACAUUGCCCAACCCCGUGCCAUAUUUAUUACUUGGAUGACAUGUCAAGAUCGAUUGGCUACGAAGGAGAAAUUAUCCAGGUUUGUAUUCUCAAGGAUGAUAAGUGUUGUUGUUGUGGUCAACAAGAAACCACCCUCAAUCAUUUUUUGUUUAACUGUGAAACACAUAGAAAGAUUUGGAGCUUUGUGCUUCUUAAUUAGAUGAAGAUUAAUCACCAACCCUGUGGAUGGACUGAAGUAUUUAAAUAUGCCUUUGUUGAAACUACUUAUGCUUGUUGGAAACUUAGAAACGUUUUUUGCUUUGGGGAUAAAAAUGAUAGCUCUAUAAUAGGCCCCCAUAUGAUUGAGAACACCAUCUUUAGGUGUUGGUCCAAACCAAAGAUGAGGCAACAUAUUGCUAAGCUUAUGCUUCCAUAAGAGUAUCUAGCUUUUGGUCGGUUGGAUUUUAGGAUCGCCUUGAUUGUAUUGUUUUUGUUAUUAAUAAAGUAUUCCUUGAUUUCAGAACAAAAAUUGAAUUUUAAUAGUAAAUUUUUUCUGUUAUAAUUUUAUUAAUUUUUAUCGGUAUGCACGCUCUUGCUCGAUGUGAAUAUAAAUAUAGCACUUUAGUUUCAUAUCUUCACUUUUGUACUACUCUUCAAAUUUGUAUCAUAGUUUUCAUCUUCUAUUUCUUACUUUAUACAUUUGUAUUGAUUAUUAAUUUUAUUUUUUUUCAGGGUAAAAGAUUAUUCAUUUGAUAAUGGCACAUAGUGUAAAUAUUUCGAUGUUUUUAACUCUAAUAUUUAGAUCAAUUAAAAUAAUUUUUGAAGAAUUUGCAUAGACAUUUAUUUGUAUAGAAAUU